rnacentral:rRNA from 1 species
AUGGAUGGUCUCCUACACUGGGAUUUCAAUCCCGGCCUUGCGGUUGCUGAUCAGGUACGUCGAUGGUUUGGAGAAACGGUCCAUUUCUCUCCUUCUCGCCCUACCAAGGAGUUCUUCUUGGUGGUCUCUUUCUCUUUGGCCUCCUUCCCUCUCUUUGAAGAUUCUGUGUGUGUGGCCCUUCAAUGUUGCAUUGGAAGUCAUCACAAAGGUUUUAAGGUUUCUAAGAUCAAUGAAAGAUCGUUUUGCUUCUCUGUGGCCGGGAAUAAAGUUGGUCAUUUCAUAUAUCGGCUCAAGGAUCGCAUAUGGCUAGACUUUGUUUGUCACUUCCAUCUUUUCAAUGGUCAUUUUGCUCGGUUUUCUCAUUUCAAUUCUUUGUGGCACACGGAUGAGGAACUGAAGGAUAUUUCUGCCAGGAAGCCUAUUGCGAUUAAGUCCAAUUUGGGUACAUUUUAA